AUUGAACGCUGGCGGCAUGCCUUACACAUGCAAGUCGAACGGCCGCACGGGUGCUUGCACCUGGUGGCGAGUGGCGCACGGGUGAGUAAUACAUCGGAACAUGUCCUGUAGUGGGGGAUAGCCCGGCGAAAGCCGGAUUAAUACCGCAUACGAUCUACGGAUGAAAGCGGGGGACCUUCGGGCCUCGCGCUAUAGGGUUGGCCGAUAGCUGAUUAGCUAGUUGGUGGGGUAAAGGCCUACCAAGGCGACGAUCAGUAGCUGGUCUGAGAGGACGACCAGCCACACUGGGACUGAGACACGGCCCAGACUCCUACGGGAGGCAGCAGUGGGGAAUUUUGGACAAAGGGCGAAAGCCUGAUGCAGCAAUGCCGCGUGUGUGAAGAAGGCCUUCGGAUUGUAAAGCACUUUUGUCCGGAAAGAAAUACUUGGCUCUAAUACAGUCGGGGGAUGACGGUACCGGAAGAAUAAGCACCGGCUAACUACGUG
rnacentral:rRNA from 1 species